rnacentral:rRNA from 1 species
GACGAACGCUGGCGGCGUGCCUAAUACAUGCCAGUCGAGCGGACGGAUGGGAGCUUGCUCCCAGACCGUCAGCGGCGGACGGGUGAGUAACACGUGGGCAACCUGCCUGUAAGACUGGGAUAACUCCGGGAAACCGGGGCUAAUACCGGAUAACUCUUUCCCUCACAUGAGGGAAAGCUGAAAGAUGACAUCUCGCUAUCACUUACAGAUGGGCCCGCGGCGCAUUAGCUAGUUGGUGAGGUAACGGCUCACCAAGGCGACGAUGCGUAGCCGACCUGAGAGGGUGAUCGGCCACACUGGGACUGAGACACGGCCCAGACUCCUACGGGAGGCAGCAGUAGGGAAUCUUCCGCAAUGGACGAAAGUCUGACGGAGCAACGCCGCGUGAGUGAUGAAGGUUUUCGGAUCGUAAAACUCUGUUGUCAGGGAAGAACAAGUACCGGAGUAACUGCCGGUACCUUGACGGUACCUGACCAGAAAGCCACGGCUAACUACGUG